UUGGUUAAGUUAGAAAGGGCGCACGGUGGAUGCCUUGGCACUAGGAGCCGAAGAAGGACGGGACUAACACCGAUAUGCUUUGGGGAGCUGUACGUAAGCGUUGAUCCAGAGAUUUCCGAAUGGGGGAACCCACUAUCUUUAGUCGGAUAGUAUCCUUACGUGAAUACAUAGCGUGAGGAAGGCAGACCCAGGGAACUGAAACAUCUAAGUACCUGGAGGAAGAGAAAGAAAAAUCGAUUUCCUGAGUAGCGGCGAGCGAAACGGAAAGAGCCCAAACCAAGAAGCUUGCUUCUUGGGGUUGUAGGACACUCUAUACGGAGUUACAAAAGAAAGUUAUAAAUGAAGCGGUCUGGAAAGGCCCGCCAAAGACGGUAACAGCCCGGUAGUUGAAAUAGCUUUCCCUCCAGAGUGGAUCCUGAGUACGGCGGAACACGUGAAAUUCCGUCGGAAUCCGGGAGGACCAUCUCCCAAGGCUAAAUACUCCCUAGUGACCGAUAGUGAACCAGUACCGUGAGGGAAAGGUGAAAAGCACCCCGGAAGGGGAGUGAAACAGUUCCUGAAACCGUGUGCCUACAAGUAGUUAGAGCCCGUUAAUGGGUGAUAGCGUGCCUUUUGUAGAAUGAACCGGCGAGUUACGAUUUGUUGCAAGGUUAAGCGGAAAAAGCGGAGCCGUAGCGAAAGCGAGUCUGAAUAGGGCGCAUAAGUAACAGGUCGUAGACCCGAAACCAGGUGAUCUACCCAUGUCCAGGAUGAAGGUAAGGUAAUACUUACUGGAGGUCCGAACCCACGCACGUUGAAAAGUGCGGGGAUGAGGUGUGGGUAGCGGAGAAAUUCCAAUCGAACUUGGAGAUAGCUGGUUCUCUCCGAAAUAGCUUUAGGGCUAGCCUCGAGGUAAAGAGUCAUGGAGGUAGAGCACUGUUUGGACUAGGGGCCCUUCUCGGGUUACCGAAUUCAGAUAAACUCCGAAUGCCAUGUACUUAUACUCGGGAGUCAGACUGCGAGUGAUAAGAUCCGUAGUCGAAAGGGAAACAGCCCAGACCACCAGUUAAGGUCCCCAAAUAUAUGUUAAGUGGAAAAGGAUGUGGGGUUGCUUAGACAACCAGGAUGUUGGCUUAGAAGCAGCCACCAUUGAAAGAGUGCGUAAUAGCUCACUGGUCGAGUGACCCCGCGCCGAAAAUGUACCGGGGCUAAACAUAUUACCGAAACUGUGGAUGAACCUCUUUAGAGGUUCGUGGUAGGAGAGCGUUCUAAGGGCGGUGAAGUCAGACCGGAAGGACUGGUGGAGCGCUUAGAAGUGAGAAUGCCGGUAUGAGUAGCGAAAGAAGGGUGAGAAUCCCUUCCACCGAAUAUCUAAGGUUUCCUGAGGAAGGCUCGUCCGCUCAGGGUUAGUCGGGACCUAAGCCGAGGCCGAUAGGCGUAGGCGAUGGACAACAGGUAGAGAUUCCUGUACCAGUGCUAAUUGUUUAACCGAUGGGGUGACACAGAAGGAUAGGGAAUCGCACGAAUGGAAAUGUGCGUCCAAGCAGUGAGUGUGAGAAGUAGGCAAAUCCGCUUCUCGCGAAGCAUGAGCUGUGAUGGGGAAGGAAAUUAAGUACGGAAGUUCCUGAUUUCACGCUGUCAAGAAA
rnacentral:rRNA from 1 species